rfam:Arabidopsis thaliana chromosome 3, complete sequence.
GUCCCGUCGAGGACAUCUGAUAAGAUUGGAACGAUACAAAGAAGAUCUGCAAGGAUCACACUCACAAAUCAAGAAAUGGUCCAAAUUGUU